CCUACGGGGGGCUGCAGUGGGGAAUAUUGGGCAAUGGGCGCAAGCCUGACCCAGCAACGCCGCGUGAAGGAAGAAGGCUUUCGGGUUGUAAACUUCUUUUGUCAGGGAAGAGUAGAAGACGGUACCUGACGAAUAAGCCAUGGCUAAAUACGUGCGAGCAGCCGAGAUAAUACGGAGGAGGCAAGCGUUGUCCGGAUUUACUGGGUGUAAAGGGCGUGUAGCCGGGUUGACAAGUCAGAUGUGAAAUCCUGCGGCUUAACCGCAGAACUGCAUUUGAAACUGUUGGUCUUGAGUACUGGAGAGGCAGAUGGAAUUCGUAUUGUAGCGGUGAAAUGCGUAGAUAUUAGGAGGAACACCGGUGGCGAAGGCGGUCUGCUGGACAGCAACUGACGGUGAUGCGCGAAAGCGUGGGGAGCAAACAGGAUUAGAUACCCGUGUAGUC
rnacentral:rRNA from 1 species